GCUCCUUCAACCUGACCCUUUCCUCAACAGGCUGCUACAAAACAAACUGCUGUGAAGUGUAAGAGGAAGAACAAGAUCCAGCUGUGUACGUGGACCAAAGGUGCCUUACUUCAUCUACACCCAAAUAAAUACAGGGCAUUUCCUUCCUUCUCAAGUUUUGCCUCAGG
rnacentral:lncRNA from 12 species